CCUACGGGGGGCAGCAGUGGGGAAUAUUGCACAAUGGGGGGAACCCUGAUGCAGCGACGCCGCGUGAGUGAAGAAGUAUUUCGGUAUGUAAAGCUCUAUCAGCAGGGAAGAAAAUGACGGUACCUGACUAAGAAGCCCCGGCUAACUACGUGCCAGCAGCCGCGGUAAUACGUAGGGGGCAAGCGUUAUCCGGAUUUACUGGGUGUAAAGGGAGCGUAGACGGCAGAGCAAGUCUGAAGUGAAAGCCCGCGGCCCAACUGCGGGACUGCUUUGGAAACUGCCCGGCUAGAGUGCUGGAGAGGUAA
rnacentral:rRNA from 1 species